rnacentral:tRNA from 1 species
GUUGCAUAAAAAUUGAUAAAUAUGUAUAAGUGUAUAGCAACUGACUCAUAAUCAGUAGGUGCCUGGUUCGAUCCCAGGUGGGCCCA